AACCACACAUACAAGAAGUCGUCUGGAUGUGACCAUCACACAUCUGACCAAAUAUGACUCUGGACGUUACAGCUGUGGUUUGGACAAAUCUUGGUCAAUAGAUCCAUACCAGCAGUUUAAGAUCAUCGUCACAGAUGGUUCGCUGCUGUAUGUGUGUCUGACUCUGGUCAUCAUUGCUGUGCUCCUGUUCUCUGUGGCUGUGCUGAUACUCAAGAAAAGAGCCUCUAAACCCAAAGAACAUCCUGAGGAAACAGAGUG